rnacentral:rRNA from 1 species
GUCACUUUCAGUAGGGAGGAAGGUAGUGUAGUUUAACACCUGCAUUAUUUGACGUUACCUACAGAAGAAGCACCGGCUAACUCCGUGCCAGCAGCCGCGGUAAUACGGAGGGUGCGAGCGUUAAUCGGAAUUACUGGGCGUAAAGCGCAUGCAGGCGGCCUGUUAAGUCAGAUGUGAAAGCCCGGGGCUUAACCUCGGAAUUGCAUUUGAAACUGGCAGGCUAGAGUCUUGUAGAGGGGGUAGGAAUUUCAGGUGUAGCGGUGAAAAUUGCGUAGAGAUCUGAAGGAAUACCAGUGGCGAAGGCGGCCCCCUGGACAAAGACUGACGCUCAGAUGCGAAAGCGUGGGGAGCAAACAGGAUUAGAUACCCUGGUAG